UACAGAGGGGGCAAGCGUUGUUCGGAAUUACUGGGCGUAAAGGGCGCGUAGGCGGCCUGCUAAGUCGAACGUGAAAUCCCCGGGCUCAACCCCGGGCCUGCAGUCGAUACGGGCAGACUAGAGUGCGGUAGGGGAGACUGGAAUUCCUGGUGUAGCGGUGAAAUGCGCAGAUAUCAGGAGGAACACCGGUGGCGAAGGCGGCACUCUGGGACGGUACUGACGCUGAGACGCGAAAGCGUGGGGAGCAAACAGG
rnacentral:rRNA from 1 species